UGCCAGAGCCACUGCUUGCACCCGCUGCUGGCGCUGGCCCCAAUUGCUCCAUGCUGUCAGCGGGUGCAAGUGGAGCUGGCGCC